GGCUUUUCUUAGUGCUGUUGUAGUUCUUUAGCCAGCACUAUUUUGAUAUGCUAAGAUUGGUGUUAUUUGACAAGGACUGGUGCUAAUCAAAUUUUAAUUUCUUAGUGAAGACCUUGCACAAGGACUGGUGCCAUCAUCUUCUACUGGAACUAAUAUUCUAAUGCGAGUUCCAAAUGAGCCCGGAAGGAGAUACUGUGAAGCAUACAUAAGGGGAACAAGAACAUGUUUUGAUGCUAUCUUUCCAUUUCUGUGCAAAUCUAUUUUACUCACUUUCUAUGUAUGACUUGGGCUGUUAAAAUUGGUGUUCUCCUCGCUUUUUCUUAAUACGAUUUUAUAGCUUUUACUUUCACUCCCGUUUUGACUGAGGGAUGUUGUGGAUGAGUAUAUUGAUUUUGCGUAUUUUGAUCUUUAAUAAACUGAUAUUGCAUGUUUUGGAUUUUGAUGUGUGAAAGACUUUCCAUUUAACUAUUUACUUUAAGUGAUGAGGAUUCUUUUUAUUGGCAGAAAAUAUACAAAAUAAAAUAUUCAAGUUUGUUAUUGAUUGUUGGGGGAUGUCACAGUGGUGUUGAGCUCGCAGCAGAGAAGAGUGGGCAUGGUCUCAAUGCUUAAUGAGGUUGGGUUGGUGGAUAAUCAGUGAUGCUCAUGAAAGACCAGGAACCUUGGAGAAGGUUUCACCUAUUAUUCUCCUCGAAGAAGCUCUAUCAACACCUCCUAAAUUUCUCACUACCAGCUCCCUCAUCUACUUCCUACUUCCCUUUUCUCAGCUUUAUGUCUCAUGUGCAUCAUCUCUCCAUUAAGGUUGAAUAUCGGUAACUGCUGGGAAGUCAAUGAUGAAGUUCAAGAUUGGGUGCACAGUGGAAAGAAACCAUGUUUGAUGAAAGCAAGCUAGGAAUAGAGCCUUAUGCAAUUCAGGUGUAAGUUCUGAAGACCUUGAGAGCAAUUGAAGGUCAUACAAAAGCACCAUCAAGUGUACAAAUUAUUUUGUGACUCAGUCAGUCAAGGGCCAUUUAUUCUAGGUAGCAUAUUUCGUUGAAGAAGUAGAAGAGGUGAGGACAUUUGUUCCACAGUCUUUUCCGGAAAAGCGGAAGAGGGAAGAGGAAUGUGCAUUAGUGAAAAAGUAAGGAGCUUGAAACUGCUAAGAAGAAAAUAGUCGAGAGUGGUACACUGAUCUACGGUAGAGCUAAGCAGUAUGCCAAGGAGUGCAAUGAGCAGGAAAAUGAAUUGAUUUGAUUGAAAUGUGAGGAAACGUUGAAAGGUCGAUUUUAUGUUGAUUCUAAUGCUAAGACAAGGAGGAUCUUGCAGCUAUCGAGAUUGAGACAAUUUUUUAUGGUGUUUUUCUUUAAGUUUACAAAUCAACAAUGAAAGUGUUGCUUAGUUGAGCCCAAAUAUGAAGAGUGCAAGUAUGGAAAGUAGAACCAGUAGAGAAGAUAUGGAA